rnacentral:rRNA from 1 species
GACGAACGCUGGCGGCGUGCCUAAUACAUGCAAGUCGAACGAGUGGCGGACGGGUGAGUAAUAUCUCGGAACGUGCGCAGUAGCGGGGGAUCACUACUCGAAAGAGUGGCUACUACCGCAUACUAUUGGAUCGGCCGAUAUCGGAUUAGCUAGUUGGGGGGGUCACGGGUAACCAAGGCCACGCUCCGUAGCUGGUUGUAGAGGAAGACCAGCCACAUUGGGACGGAGACACGGCCCAGACUCCUACGGGAGGCAGCAGUGGGGAAUUUUGGACAAUGGGGGAAACCCUGAUGCAGCCAUCCCGCGUGUAUGAGAAGGCCUUCGGGUUGUAAAGUACUUUUGGCAGAGAAGCGGUAUCUGCAGAAUAAGCACCGGCUAACUACGUGCCAGCAGCCGCGGUAAUAC